rnacentral:rRNA from 1 species
UACGUAGGGCGCGAGCGUUGUCCGGAAUCAUUGGGCGUAAAGAGCGUGUAGGCGGCUACUUAAGUCCUGCGUGAAAUCCUGCGGCUCAACCGCAAGCGGUCGUGGGAAACUGGGUGGCUAGAGUGCGGGAGAGGAGAGUGGAAUUCCUGGUGUAGCGGUGGAAUGCGCAGAUAUCAGGAGGAACACCGGUGGCGAAGGCGGAUCUCUGGGCCAUUACUGACGCUGAGGAGCGAAAGCGUGGGGAGCGAACAGG